rnacentral:rRNA from 1 species
AUUGAACGCUGGCGGCAUGCUUUACACAUGCAAGUCGAACGGUAACAGGUUAAGCUGACGAGUGGCGAACGGGUGAGUAAUGCAUCGGAACGUGCCCGAUCGUGGGGGAUAACGCAGCGAAAGCUGCGCUAAUACCGCAUACGAUCUGAGGAUGAAAGCGGGGGACCGUAAGGCCUCGCGCGAUCGGAGCGGCCGAUGUCAGAUUAGGUAGUUGGUGGGGUAAAGGCUCACUAAGCCAACGAUCUGUAGCUGGUCUGAGAGGACGACCAGCCACACUGGGACGGAGACACGGCCCAGACUCCGACGGGAGGCAGCAGUGGGGAAUUGUGGACAAUGGGCGAAAGCCUGAUCUAGCAAUGCCGCGUGCAGGAAGAAGGCCGUCGGGUUGUAAACUGCUUUUGUACGGAGCGAAAAGGCUCUCUCUAAUACAGGGGGCUCAUGACGGUACCGUAAGAAUAAGCACCGGCUAACUACGUGCCAGCCGCCGCUGUAA